UACAGAGGGGGCAAGCGUUAUUCGGAAUUAUUGGGCGUAAAGCGCGUGUAGGCGGCUCUGCAAGUCGGGUGUGAAAUCCCAUGGCUCAACCAUGGAAGUGCACUCGAAACUGCAGGGCUAGAGUCCUGGAGAGGAAGGUGGAAUGCUUGGUGUAGAGGUGAGAUUCGUAGAUAUCAAGCGGAACACCGGUGGCGAAGGCGGCCUUCUGGACAGUGACUGACGCUGAGACGCGAAAGCGUGGGGAGCAAACAGG
rnacentral:rRNA from 1 species